rnacentral:rRNA from 1 species
GUGUACGGCCACGCCACCCUGAACACGCCCCUCCUGUCUGAUCUUGGAAGCUAAGCAGGGUCGGGCCUCGUUAGUACUUGGAUGGGAGACCACCUAGGAAGACCAGGUGCUAUAGGCA